GGGGAUAACGUUUGGAAACGAACGCUAAUACCGCAUGAUAUUAUUGAGCAGCAUGGCUUGAUAAUCAAAGGAGCAAUCCGCUGAAAGAUGGGCUCGCGUCCGAUUAGGUAGUUGUCGGGGCAACGGCCCACCAAGCCGACGAUCGGUAGCCGGACUGAGAGGUUGAACGGCCACAUUGGGACUGAGACACGGCCCAGACUCCUACGGGAGGCAGCAGUGAGGGAUAUUGGUCAAUGGGGGAAACCCUGAACCAGCAACGCCGCGUGAGGGAAGACGGUUUUCGGAUUGUAAACCUCUGUCCUCUGUGAAGAUGAUGACGGUAGCAGAGGAGGAAGCUCCGGCUAACUACGUGCCAGCAGCCGCGGUAAUACGUAGGGAGCAAGCGUUGUCCGGAUUUACUGGGUGUAAAGGGUGCGUAGGCGGCUUUGCAAGUCAGAAGUGAAAUCCAUGGGCUUAACCCAUGAACUGCUUUUGAAACUGCAGAGCUUGAGUGGAGUAGAGGUAGGCGGAAUUCCCGGUGUAGCGGUGAAAUGCGUAGAGAUCGGGAGGAACACCAGUGGCGAAGGCGGCCUGCUGGGCUCUAACUGACGCUGAGGCACGAAAGCGUGGGUAGCAAACAGGAUUAGAUACCCUGGUAGUCCACGCUGUAAACGAUGAUUAAAGGGUGUGGGUGGACUGACCCCAUCCGU
rnacentral:rRNA from 1 species